CUUUUCGGUGGGUCGCAGAAUUCGGUGUAACAACGGGACUCACUGCUCGAAGAUGUGACGUUCGGCUCAGCUGCACUUGGAGGUUAUGAUGCAUCACUCGAUUUUUACGGAUGAUUCAAAGCCAGAAGUCAAACGCUGCACAACUUGCUGCACACUUUUCCACUGCCCCCUAUGCCCAACUUUCAAACCAACCAUCAACACGAAGCUUCAGUGCCACCUGGAAUCCCACAUAAAACAUUCCAUUACAUUUAAAGACAAAAAGAUAUGCAGGUGCAACCUCAGCUGCAGGGAUGGGGGACAUUAUCAUUGCCCCCUUUAUGGCAAAACGAUCAUCAGGAAGUCGGUUAUGGAUCUACACCUGAAGUCCUGCACAAACACGCAAGACAGUCCCUCCACCUCCGCUGCCGUCCAUACAUCCAAUCAAAACCCCAUCACAGUCAAGACAGCCACCACAUCUCCAGCUCCGACUGCUCCUUCUCCCCAAGCUUCAACUGUUGUGUCUUCCUCUGCCGUCUCUGCUGCCCAGAGUAAAAGUACAACCGGUUUGAAAAAAGGAAAAUGCCCGCACUGUAAAUUAACUUUCUAUAAGAAAAACAUAGAAAAACACACACACACACACACGUGUGUGUGUGUCUGUGUGUGUGUGUGUGUGUGUGUGUGUGUGUGUGUGUGUGUGUGUGUGUGUGUGUGUUGAGGUUCUGAGUUCAGUUAUCUGUUGAGUGUUCUUAAUAAAGUGUUAUAACGUUUACAAUGUA